UACGUAGGGGGCGAGCGUUGUCCGGAUUUAUUGGGCGUAAAAGGCUUGUAGGUGGCCACGUCAAGUCGGAUGUGAAAUCUCCCGGCUCAACUGGGGAACUGCACGGGAAACUGGAAGGCUUGAGUUCGGGAGAGGGAAGCGGAAUUCCGGGUGUAGCGGUGAAAUGCGUAGAUAUCCGGAGGAACACCGGUGGCGAAGGCGGCUUCCUGGACCGACACUGACGCUGAGGCGCGAAAGCUAGGGGAGCAAACGGG
rnacentral:rRNA from 1 species